GCUUGUCUCAAAGAUUAAGCCAUGCAUGUCUUAGUGUAAAUAACUCUUAUGAAACUGCGAAUGGCUCAUUAAAUCAGUUAUCAAAUACGUGAUGGUCGCCUACUACAUGGAUAACCGUAGUAAUUCUAGAGCUAAUACAUGCACAAAGGCCCACUCACGUGGGUUGUGAUUAUUAGAUUCAAACCGGCCUCGUUCUGGUGAUUCAUAAUAAUUGGUCGAACCGCAUGCCCUUGUGGUGGCGGUGAUUCAUCCUUAUUUCUGCCCUAUCAAGUAUCGUAUGUAGGAUAGAGGCCUACAUAGCUUAUGACGGGUGACGGAGAAUUAGGGUUCGAUUCCGGAGAGGGAGCCUGAGAAACGGCUACCACAUCCAAGGAAGGCAGCAGG
rnacentral:rRNA from 1 species